GAUGAAGAACGUAGCGAAAUGCGAUAAGUAGUGUGAAUUGCAGAAUUCAGUGAAUCAUCGAAUGUUUGAACGCUCAUUGCGACCCUUGGUAUUCCAUGGGGCAUGCCUGUUCGAGCGUCAUUUGUACCUUCAAGCUCUGCUUGGUGUUGGGUGUUUGUCUCGCCUCUGCGUGUAGACUCGCCUCAAAACAAUUGGCAGCCGGCGUAUUGAUUUCGGAGCGCAGUACAUCUCGCGCUUUGCACUCAUAACGACGACGUCCAAAAGUACAUUUUUACACUCUUGACCUCGGAUCAGGUAGGGAUACCCGCUGAACUUAAGCAUAUCAAUAAGCGGAGGA
rnacentral:misc_RNA from 1 species